rnacentral:lncRNA from 1 species
GGUCAGCUGCUUCUGUCCAUUAAUUGGGUGGAAAACAGAUAUUUUAAAAAUUCAAUACAUUCUGAUGAUGGUUUUCCCUCUCUCCAUUCCUCCCAGCUCUUCCCUGCCCACACAAAUAUUUCUUUCAUCUUUCAUUAGGCUACAAACAGGCAUCUAAAAAUAUAGUAACUAUAAAAUCAAAUUAGAUAAAAGAAAACCAAACAAAUCAGAAUAGGAGAGAACAAACAGAAGGAAAAAAAAAAACAAAGAAAGAAAGGAAAAGCUCAAGAAACACAUACAGAUCAGAGAUGCACAUUGACACACAUAGAAUCCCAUAAAAAACACAGAACUAGAAAACCAUAAUAUAGGAGCUGGGGAUGGCUCAGGGUUUAAGAGCAUCGGCUGCUCUUCCAGAGGUCCUGAGUUCAAUUCCCAACAAUGACAUGGUGGCUCACAACAUCUAUAAAUGGGAUCUGACGCCAUCCUCUGGCAUGCAGGUCUACAUGCAGGUAGAGCACUCAUACUUAAAAUAAGUCUAAAAAACAUAAUAUAUAUACAUAUAUAUAUUUAUAAUGUCUAUACAUAAUGUGCAUACACAUACAUAAGGGAAAAAUACAAAGAACCGACUAGGCAUUAUAAGACAAACAAACCUUCAAAGCCACUAAGUUCCUUUUGUGCUGGCCAGUUACCUCUGGGCAUGUUGUCUCACCUUAAGAGUGGUUUGUAUAUUUAGUUUGUACAUCCAUUGGAGAGAACUAAGUUUUCAUUUGCAAACAGCUAUCGGUUGGACAUAGAGUCUGGGUUAGGGAUGUGGGCUUGCGUCCCCUGAUAGCAGGCCCAGACCUCUGCAGACUCCACCCACACUGCUACUGUCUCUGUGAGUUCCUAUGUACACAGAUUCUGCUGGGUUUUAGAAGGCCUUGUGUCCUUAGGAUCCUCCAUACACUCCGAGUCUUAAAAUCUUUUCCACCUCCUUUUCCUCAUGGUUCCCUGGACCUUGAGAGGAGAGAUUUGAGGGAGACAUUUCAUUUAGGACCAAGUAUUCCAAGGGUUACUCUUCUGCACUGUCCCUUUGUAGCUGUGGCUCUCUGUAUUUGUUCCCAUUGACACAGCACAGGGGUUUUUCUCAAGAUGGCUGACCUAGGGACACAUCAGAAUGACUUAGUAG